rnacentral:rRNA from 1 species
AACGAACGCUGGCGGCAUGCCUAACACAUGCAAGUCGAACGAGACCUUCGGGUCUAGUGGCGCACGGGUGCGUAACGCGUGGGAACCUGCCCUUAGGUUCGGAAUAACUCCCCGAAAGGGGUGCUAAUACCGGAUAAUGUCUUCGGACCAAAGAUUUAUCGCCUUUGGAUGGGCCCGCGUUGGAUUAGCUAGUUGGUAGGGUAAAAGCCUACCAAGGCGACGAUCCAUAGCUGGUCUGAGAGGAUGCUCAGCCACACUGGGACUGAGACACGGCCCAGACUCCUACGGGAGGCAGCAGUGGGGAAUAUUGGACAAUGGGCGAAAGCCUGAUACAGCAAUGCCGCGGGAGUGAUGAAGGCCUUAGGGUUGUAAAGCUCUUUUACCCGGGAUGAGAAUGACAGUACCGGGAGAAUAAGCACCGGCUAACUCCGUG